rnacentral:rRNA from 1 species
AUUGAACGCUGGCGGCAGGCCUAACACAUGCAAGUCGAACGAGUGGCGGACGGGUGAGUAAUGUCUGGGAAACUGCCUGAUGGAGGGGGAUAACUACUGGAAACGGUAGCUAAUACCGCAUACCAUCGGAUGUGCCAAGAUGGGAUUAGCUUGUUGGUGGGGUAACGGCUCACCAAGGCGACGAUCCCUAGCUGGUCUGAGAGGAUGACCAGCCACACUGGAACGGAGACAAGGUCCAGAAUCGUACGGGAGGCAGCAGUGGGGAAUAUUGCACAAUGGGCGCAAGCCUGAUGCAGCCAUGCCGCGUGUAUGAAGAAGGCCCGAGGGUUGUAAAGUACUUUCAGUCGGGAGGCGUUACCGACAGAAGAAGCACCGGCUAACUCCGUGCCAGCAGCCGCGGUAAUAC